ACCCAUAGACUUUGUUUGGUUGGGUGGAAGGAAAGUGGGAAGAAAAGAAAACACGGAAACCGAUGGAUGAAUUAAGACUACACCUUAGUCUUAAUUCACUCCUCGGUUUCCGUGUUUUCUUUCCUUCUCAGUUUCCUUCCACCCAACCAAACAUAGUCAUAGGGUG
rnacentral:pre_miRNA from 1 species